UACAGAGGUCUCAAGCGUUGUUCGGAUUCAUUGGGCGUAAAGGGUGUGUAGGUGGCGCCGUAAGUCGGGUGUGAAAUUUCGGGAGCUUAACUCCGAAACUGCAUUCGAUACUGCGGUGCUUGAGGACUGGAGAGGAGACUGGAAAUUCAUGGUGUAGCAGUGAAAUGCGUAGAGAUCAUGAGGAAGACCAGUGGCGAAGGCGGGUCUCUGGACAGUUCCUGACGCUGAGGCACGAAGGUCAGGGGAGCAAAACGGG
rnacentral:rRNA from 1 species